CAUAUUAACUGAAGACUGUGCUUAAAACUCCACUGAUGAUUAUUAGUGUGUGACACUGACACACACACAGAAGAAACAAUGAUUUCUCUUAUUCUAAUGCUGGGGACACUCUGUCUGCUUGCUCAAGUGUCUCAUGAAGAGGUUCAGUCUCCUGAGUCUCUGUCUGUUAAAGCAGGAGAAUCUGUCUCUAUCAGCUGCACUGGGACCAGCGGAGUUGGUGAUGACAUGAGCUGGUAUCUGCAGAAACCUGGAGAAGCUCCUAAACUCCUCAUCCAUGAUGCCAGUCAACUUGUAUCUGGAAUCUCAGAUCGGUUCAGUGGAACUUAUUCUGGAUAUGUAUUUACACUGAACAUACGUGGAGUCCAGCCUGAGGAUGCAGGAGUUUAUUACUGUAUGGGGUAUUAUAGUGGUGGAGUGUGCACACAGUGAAACAACAUCAUACAAAAACCUCCCUCAGUCUGACAGCUAAGAGAAUAUGAGAAAAAUUUCAGCCAAGUUUCCCUGUAUAAUUAAACAACACACUAAUGAAGAUUUUUUUAAAGUAUUCAAUCUGUUCAAUCAAAAGUAAUUACCACACAUGAAAAAUAUAUUUAUACAGGAAAAUAUAUU